rnacentral:rRNA from 1 species
GAACCGUACAAACGUUUAUUCGGAAUCACUGGGCUUAAAGGGUGCGUAGGCGGCUCUGCAAGUUGGGUGUGAAAGCCCUCGGCUCAACCGAGGAAUUGCGCCCAAAACUGCCGGGCUUGAGGGAGACAGAGGUGAGCGGAACUUAGGGUGGAGCGGUGAAAUGCGUUGAUAUCCUAAGGAACACCAGUGGCGAAAGCGGCUCACUGGGUCUCUUCUGACGCUGAGGCACGAAAGCUAGGGGAGCGAACGGGAUUAGAUACCCCGGGUAGUCCUAGCCGUAAACGAUGAGCACUGGGUCGGAGUGUCCCUCCCAUAACCCUUCUGAUCGUAGCGAAAAGUGUUUAAAGUGCUCCGCCUGGGGGAGUAUGGUCGCAAGGCUGA